GUGCUCACUUCAGCAGCACAUAUACUAAAAUUGGAAUGACACAGAGGAGAUUAGUAUGGUCCCUGCACAAGUAUGACAUGCAAAUCCGUGAAGCAUUCCAUAUUUUU
ensembl:snRNA U6 U6 spliceosomal RNA